rnacentral:rRNA from 1 species
GACGAACGCUGGCGGCGUGCUUAACACAUGCAAGUCGAACGGAAAGGCCCUGCUUUUGUGGGGUGCUCGAGUGGCGAACGGGUGAGUGACACGUGAGUAACCUGCCCUUGACUUUGGGAUAACUUCAGGAAACUGGGGCUAAUACCGGAUAGGAGCUCCUGCUGCAUGGUGGGGGUUGGAAAGUUUCGGCGGUUGGGGAUGGACUCGCGGCUUAUCAGCUUGUUGGUGGGGUAGUGGCUUACCAAGGCUUUGACGGGUAGCCGGCCUGAGAGGGUGACCGGCCACAUUGGGACUGAGAUGCGGCCCAGACUCCUACGGGAGGCAGCAGUGGGGAAUAUUGCACAAUGGGCGGAAGCCUGAUGCAGCAACGCCGCGUGCGGGAUGACGGCCUUCGGGUUGUAAACCGCUUUCGCCUGUGACGAAGCGUGAGUGACGGUAAUGGGUAAAGAAGCACCUGCUAACUACGUGCCAGCAGCCGCGGUGAUACGUAGGGUGCGAGCGUUGUCCGGAUUUAUUGGGCGUAAAGGGCUCGUAGGUGGUUGGUCGCGUCGGAAGUGUAAUCUUGGGGCUUAACCCUGAGCGUGCUUUCGAUACGGGUUGACUUGAGGAAGGUAGGGGAGAAUGGAAUUCCUGGUGGAGCGGUGGAAUGCGCAGAUAUCAGGAGGAACACCAGUGGCGAAGGCGGUUCUCUGGGCCUUUCCUGACGCUGAGGAGCGAAAGCGUGGGGAGCGAACAGGCUUAGAUACCCUGGUAGUCCACGCUGUAAACGGUGGGUACUAGGUGUGGGGCCCAUUCCACGGGUUCCGUGCCGUAGCUAACGCUUUAAGUACCCCGCCUGGGGAGUACGGCCGCAAGGCUAAAACUCAAAGGAAUUGACGGGGCCCCGCACAAGCGGCGGAGCAUGCGGAUUAAUUCGAUGCAACGCGUAGAACCUUACCUGGGUUUGACAUGGAUCGGGAGUGCUCAGAGAUGGGUGUGCCUCUUUUGGGGUCGGUUCACAGGUGGUGCAUGGCUGUCGUCAGCUCGUGUCGUGAGAUGUUGGGUUAAGUCCCGCAACGAGCGCAACCCUUGUUCACUGUUGCCAGCACGUUAUGGUGGGGACUCAGUGGAGACCGCCGGGGUCAACUCGGAGGAAGGUGGGGAUGACGUCAAGUCAUCAUGCCCCUUAUGUCCAGGGCUUCACGCAUGCUACAAUGGCUGGUACAGAGAGUGGCGAGCCUGUGAGGGUGAGCGAAUCUCGGAAAGCCGGUCUCAGUUCGGAUUGGGGUCUGCAACUCGACCUCAUGAAGUCGGAGUCGCUAGUAAUCGCAGAUCAGCAACGCUGCGGUGAAUACGUUCCCGGGGCUUGUACACACCGCCCGUCAAGUCAUGAAAGUUGGUAACACCCGAAGCCGGUGGCCUAACCGUUGUGGGGGAGCCGUCGAAGGUGGGACUGGUGAUUAGGACUAAGUCGUAACAAGGUAGCCGUACCGGAAGG